GUAUUUUUGAAAGCAUGUUUUCUUUAAACAGCUUUUGUCUCUCAUUUUGUUUUCCUCUUUUUCUAAAAAUACAAUUCCCAUUUUUCUCAUCCCUCAUUUACAACAUCUGAGUCACCAUCUUUGCACUCAUUCAUAACACAGCAUGACCAAGAGCUGCCAGCAGGAAACACGGAUUAAGGGCUUGGCUUUUCUCAACUUGGUUAACAGCAGCUGAACACCCUGACUGUUGCCGGCAACUAUGAAACGUGCAGUGGAUCCACAACUUCCCCAAGGUCCAAGGUUGAUUACAGAGAGACAUCUCAGCGGCACAACCAACCUGCACUUGCAGUUCCACAGUGGUGUCUAUUUUCUGGCUUUGCAUGAUAACUCAGUUCCAAAGAGCAGAUGGUAAUAGUUAGCUGCCUUCUGCACCUGCAUGGAUGAGAGCAGAUCUGAAGAAACUCUUCUAUUCCAAACUUCUCAUCUCAGCCUUCUGAGAGUUAUUUAGGAUCACAAGAAAAUUCAAGACUCCUGCAGGUCAACUUGUCCAACUUCCUCCUCAGGUACCAUUGGCUGUGAAGAGUCAGACCAGGACACUCAGACCUUCAUCAGGUAUUUCAGCAACUUAAUUCAGAACCUG
ensembl:lncRNA